GGUGCUAUGGUGUAGUGGCAGCACAUGGGAUUCUGAUUAGAAGGAAAUAUUGUUUAAUUCCCAUAACCCAGGUUCGAACCCUGGUAGUGCCU